rnacentral:rRNA from 1 species
GGAGGAUCAUUAUCGUAGGGCUUCGGCCCUGUCGAGAUAGAACCCUUGCCUUUUUGAGUACCUUUCGUUUCCUCGGCAGGCUCGCCUGCCAAUGGGGACCACAAAAAACACUUUGCAGUACCUGUAACAGUCUGAACAAACAAACAAAAAUUAAAACUUUCAACAACGGAUCUCUUGGUUCUGGCAUCGAUGAAGAACGCAGCGAAAUGCGAUAAGUAGUGUGAAUUGCAGAAUUCAGUGAAUCAUCGAAUCUUUGAACGCACAUUGCGCCCUUUGGUAUUCCUUAGGGCAUGCCUGUUCGAGCGUCAUUUAAACCUUCAAGCUAAGCUUGGUGCUGGGUGACUGUCCGCUUCACGGCGGACUCGCCUCAAAAUUAUUGGCGGCCGGUACAUUGGCUUCGAGCGCAGCAGAAACGCGAACUCGGGCCCGUCGUAUUGGCUCCCAGAAGCUAUCUUCACAAUUUUGACCUCGGAUCAGGUAGGGAUACCCGCUGAACUUAAGCAUAUCAAUAAGCGGAGGA